CCUACGGGAGGCAGCAGUGGGGGAUAUUGGACAAUGGGGGGGAACCCUGAUCCAGCGACGCCGCGUGAGUGAAGAAGUAUUUCGGUAUGUAAAGCUCUGUCAGCAGGGAAGAAAGCAAUGACGGUACCUGACCAAGAAGCCCCGGCUAACUACGUGCCAGCAGCCGCGGUAAUACGUAGGGGGCAAGCGUUAUCCGGAAUUACUGGGUGUAAAGGGAGCGUAGACGGCUGUGCAAGUCUGGAGUGAAAGGCGGGGGCCAACCCCCGGACUGCUCUGGAAACUGUAUGGCUGGAGUGCAGGAGAGGUAAGCGGAAUUCCUAGUGUAGCGGUGAAAUGCGGAGAUAUUAGGAGGAACACCAGUGGCGAAGGCGGCUUACUGGACUGUAACUGACGUUGAGGCUCGAAAGCGUGGGGAGCAAACAGGAUUAGAUACCCCAGUAGUC
rnacentral:rRNA from 1 species